GACGAACGCUGGCGGCGUGCCUAAUACAUGCAAGUAGAACGCUGAAGAGAGGAGCUUGCUCUUCUUGGAUGAGUUGCGAACGGGUGAGUAACGCGUAGGUAACCUGCCUUGUAGCGGGGGAUAACUAUUGGAAACGAUAGCUAAUACCGCAUAACAAUGGAUGACACAUGUCAUUUAUUUGAAAGGGGCAAUUGCUCCACUACAAGAUGGACCUGCGUUGUAUUAGCUAGUAGGUGAGGUAAUGGCUCACCUAGGCGACGAUACAUAGCCGACCUGAGAGGGUGAUCGGCCACCCUGGGACUGAGACACGGCCCAGACUCCUACGGGAGGCAGCAGUAGGGAAUCUUCGGCAAUGGGGGCAACCCUGACCGAGCAACGCCGCGUGAGUGAAGAAGGUUUUCGGAUCGUAAAGCUCUGUUGUAAGUCAAGAACGGGUGUGAGAGUGGAAAGUUCACACUGUGACGGUAGCUGACCAGAAAGGGACGGCUAACUACGUG
rnacentral:rRNA from 1 species